rnacentral:rRNA from 1 species
UACAGAGGUCUCAAGCGUUGUUCGGAUUCAUUGGGCGUAAAGGGCGCGUAGGCGGGCCUGUAUGUCGAUUGUGAAAGCCCUGGGCUUAACCUGGGAAUGGCAGUCGAAACUGCAGGUCUUGAGUGCCUGAGAGGAUGGCGGAAUUCCCGGUGUAGAAGUGAAAUUCGUAGAUAUCGGGAAGAACACCUGAGGCGAAGGCGGCUGUCUGGCGGUGCACUGACGCUGAGGCGCGAAAGCGUGGGGAGCAAACAGG